AACGAACGCUGGCGGCGUGCUUAACACAUGCAAGUCGAACGCGAAAGGGGACUUCGGUCCUGAGUAAAGUGGCGGCACGGGUGAGUAACGCGUAGAUAACCUGUCUUCAUGUCUGGAAUAAUACGCCGAAAGGGGUACUAAUACCGGAUAUUCCUGCUUUUUCAUAAGUUAUGCAAGCAAAGGUGGCCUCUGCAUAUGCUACUGCAUGAAGAGGGGUCUGCGUACCAUUAGCUAGUAGGUGGGGUAAUGGCCUACCUAGGCGACGAUGGUUAGCGGGUCUGAGAGGAUGAUCCGCCACACUGGCGCUGGAACACGGGCCAGACUCCUACGGGAGGCAGCAGUGAGGAAUAUUGCGCAAUGGGGGAAACCCUGACGCAGCGACGCCGCGUGAGUGAGGAAGGCCUUCGGGUCGUAAAGCUCUGUCAAGAGGAAAGAAGUGUACAAUGGCUAAUACCUGUUGUAUUUGACGGUACCUCUAAAGGAAGCACCGGCUAACUCCGUGCCAGCCGCCGC
rnacentral:rRNA from 1 species